rnacentral:rRNA from 1 species
GUGUCAGCAGCCGCGGUAAUACGUAGGGGGCGAGCGUUGUCCGGAAUUACUGGGCGUAAAGGGUGCGUAGGCGGCCCUUUAAGUCGGAUGUGAAAGCCCGCGGCUUAACCGCGGAAUGGCAUUCGAAACUGGGUGACUUGAGGGCAGGAGAGGGGAGUGGAAUUCCCAGUGUAGCGGUGAAAUGCGUAGAUAUUGGGAGGAACACCAGUGGCGAAGGCGACUACCUGGACGACAACUGACGCUGAGGCACGAAAGCUAGGGGAGCAAACAGGAUUAGAUACCCUGGUAGUCCUAGCCGUAAACGAUGGGUACUAGGUGUAGGUGGUUUCGAUACCAUCUGUGCCGCAGUUAACGCAAUAAGUACCCCGCCUGGGGAGUACGUGCGCAAGCAUGAAACUCAAAUAAAUUGGCGG